AGAGUUUGAUCCUGGCUCAGGACGAACGCUGGCGGCGUGCCUAACAUAUGCAAGUCGAGCGAAUGAAGUUCCUUCGGGAACGGAUUUAGCGGCGGACGGGUGAGUAACACGUGAGCAACCUGCCUAUCACAUCGGGAUAGCCUCGGGGAACUGGGAUUAAUACCGAAUGAAACAUAUUGAUAACCUUAUCGAAAUGUCAAAGAUUUAUCGGUGAUAGAUGGGCUCGCGUCUGAUUAGCUAGUUGGUGAGAUAAAAGCCCACCAAGGCAAUGAUCAGUAGCCGGCCUGAGAGGGUGGUCGGUCACAUUGGGACUGAGAUACGGCCCAGACUCCUACGGGAGGCAGCAGUGGGGAAUAUUGCACAAUGAACGGAAGUUUGAUGCAGCGACGCCGUGUGAGGGAUGAAGGCCUUUGGGUUGUAAACCUUUUUCGCUUUUGACCAAGGCACAGGUUUGGCCUGUGUUGAGGGUAGGGGGUAAAUGAAGCUCCGGCUAACUACGUGCCAGCAGCCGCGGUAAUACGUAGGGAGCGAGCGUUGUCCGGAUUUAUUGGGCGUAAAGGGCUUGUAGGUGGUGUGUCGCGUCUGUCGUGAAAUUCCAUGGCUUAACUGUGGGAGUGCGGUGGGUACGGGCAUGCUUGAGUGCGGUAGGGGAGACUGGAAUUCUUGGUGUAGCGGUGGAAUGCGCAGAUAUCAGGAGGAACACCGGUGGCGAAGGCGGGUCUCUGGGCCGUUACUGACGCUGAGGAGCGAAAGCGUGGGGAGCGAACAGGAUUAGAUACCCUGGUAGUCCACGCUGUAAACGUUGGACACUAGAUGUGGUGGUUCCACUGUUUUGUGGGGUUGCUGUGUCGUAGUUAACGCAUUAAGUGUCCCGCCUGGGGAGUACGGCCGCAAGGCUAAAACUCAAAGGAAUUGACGGGGGCCCGCACAAGCGGCGGAGCAUGCGGAUUAAUUCGAGGCAACGCGAAGAACCUUACCAAGGCUUGACAUACACCUGGAGCGCGCGGAAACGUGUGUGACUUUGAUACAGGUUGUACAGGUGGUGCAUGGUUGUCGUCAGCUCGUGUCGUGAGAUGUUGGGUUAAGUCCCGUAACGAGCGCAACCCUUGUCUUAUGUUGCCAGCA
rnacentral:rRNA from 1 species